rnacentral:rRNA from 1 species
UACAGAGGUCUCAAGCGUUGUUCGGAUUCAUUGGGCGUAAAGGGUGCGUAGGCGGCGCGGUAAGUCGGGUGUGAAAUCUCGGGGCUUAACUCCGAAACUGCAUUCGAUACUGCCGUGCUUGAGGACUGGAGAGGAGACUGGAAUUUACGGUGUAGCGGUGAAAUGCGUAGAUAUCGUAAGGAAGACCAGUGGCGAAGGCGGCUUUCUGGUCUGCUCUUGACGCUGAGGCGCGAAAGCUAGGGUAGCAAACGGG